UACGUAGGGGGCUAGCGUUGUCCGGAAUCAUUGGGCGUAAAGCGCGUGUAGGCGGUCCGGUAAGUCCGCUGUGAAAGUCGGGGGCUCAACCCUCGAAUGCCGGUGGAUACUGUCGGGCUAGAGUGCGGAAGAGGCGAGUGGAAUUCCUGGUGUAGCGGUGAAAUGCGCAGAUAUCAGGAGGAACACCGGUGGCGAAGGCGGUGCUCUGGGCCGAAACUGACGCUGAGGAGCGAAAGCGUGGGUAGCAAACAGG
rnacentral:rRNA from 1 species